rnacentral:tRNA from 1 species
GCCGGUUUGGCUCAGUGGAUAGAGCAUCAGCCUGCAGACUGAAGGGUCUCAGGUUUGAUUCCUGUCAAGGGCA